rnacentral:rRNA from 1 species
GAGUGAUCGAAAGAUGAAAAGCACUUUGAAAAGAGAGUCAAACAGCACGUGAAAUUGUUGAAAGGGAAGCGUUGGCCCCCAGACGCGCCCGGGAGGGCUCAGCCGGCACGUGUGCCGGUGUACWCWCUCCCGGGCGGGCCAGCAUCGGUUUGGGCGGUCGCUGAAAGGCCCCGGGAAUGUAGCACCCUCCGGGGUGCCWUAUAGCCCGGGGCGGCAUGCGGCCCGCCGGGACCGAGGCCCGCGYUCGGC